GACGUAGGGCGCGAGCGUUGUCCGGAUUUAUUGGGCGUAAAGAGCUCGUAGGCGGUUUGUUGCGUCGGCUGUGAAAUCCCGAGGCUCAACCUCGGGUCUGCAGUCGAUACGAGCAAACUAGAGUGUUGCAGGGGAGACUGGAAUUCCUGGUGUAGCGGUGAAAUGCGCAGAUAUCAGGAGGAACACCGGUGGCGAAGGCGGGUCUCUGGGCAACAACUGACGCUGAGGAGCGAAAGCGUGGGGGAGCGAACAGG
rnacentral:rRNA from 1 species